AUUGAACGCUGGCGGCAGGCCUAACACAUGCAAGUCGAGCGGAUGAAGGGAGCUUGCUCUUGGAUUCAGCGGCGGACGGGUGAGUAAUGCCUAGGAAUCUGCCUGGUAGUGGGGGAUAACGUCCGGAAACGGGCGCUAAUACCGCAUACGUCCUGAGGGAGAACGUGGGGGAUCUUCGGACCUCACGCUAUCAGAUGAGCCUAGGCCGGAUUAGCUAGUUGGUGGGGUAAAGGCCUACCAAGGCGACGAUCCGUAACCGACCUGAGAGGAUGAUCAGCCACACUGGAACUGAGACACGGUCCAGACUCCUACGGGAGGCAGCAGUGGGGAAUCUUGCACAAUGGGCGAAAGCUUGACGCAGCAACGCCGCGUGAGUGAAGAAGGUCUUCGGAUCGUAAAACUCUUUUAGUGGGGAAGAAGGAAUGUGAAUGAAACUAUGCACGUUUUGACGGUACCUAAACAGAAAGCCACGGCUAACUACGUG
rnacentral:rRNA from 1 species